CAAAACCAUAUUAAAACAACGAAGCUUAUUUAGGUUGCAGUUGUCGUUCUAAUUGAACAGAAAAACUCGUGAGCAGUUUAGGUAUAAAUGGUGUGGCGGCGGCAUAGACCUUCUACCACUGGGCUAAUCGAAACAUGGAGGGUCUCGGGUGCCUUCUAGGGGGCCUAGCUGAGAAUAUAAAAACGCACUUGGCAGAAUAGAGUAAAUCAACAAGAGAGAGAGAGAGAGAGAGAGAGAGAGACGUGCCGGGAGAAAAGACCUAAGAUCUGCUCACAAGAGGCUCCGCACUUUCAUCAGCCAAAGGGCAAAAUGAUAAAAAGAUAUAAAUGUGGCUUGCAAAUACAGUGAAACGAACGACUUCAAGGCUACCGGCAUGUGCGGUAGAGAAGGUUGUCACGCGCGUCUUCUCCAAACAACCGCCAGGAGAACCAAUACCGGUUUCAGUAAACGAGAAAUGCCUUCCGGAGUUUACUGAAAUGGGUAGACUACGGCUGACACUCGGCAAGGCACGAGGCCAGAAGGGGUCCCACCUUAGGCCGUAAAGCGGCUAAUAAAAAGGUGGCCUCUAUCAUUCAAAGACCUCAUAUAUAGAUCCCUCCGAGAUAAUGAUUCUCCAGCAGGACAAUCCGCCAUUGAGGCCGAAGCGAUCGGACAUGCAGUUCAACUUUGUGGGCACAAGAUAGCAGUAACAUCAAGCCACGUCCAAGAAUCGUUAUCUACGCAUGGUGUCCAUGGUCGUGUACACGGCCUCGAAAAGCUGCCCUUGCGUGCCACGAACGCCGACCAUCGAGGAUUUUGCGAAUCGGGUCCUCACAGAGGUAGCAGCUGAUAUGGCGCCCUUAGGACGCGGCGGCUCCCGCCAGUGCUAUUGACUAUACCAGCGAUCACUCUCGGAGUGCUCGAUGAGGAAGGGUUCCAGCAAGAUACUGAGACGUUUCCUGAUGGUAUUGCGGUCGUGUCACAACAUUAGCGCUUCUUAAGCCGACGGUCUGGAAGGGCGUCGAUAUUCCUGUGCUGACGGAAACUUAGGCAACAUGCCGACCUAAUUUCUUCGGUCUUUAUGCGUGAACUGUCUAGCUCGAAUGAGUAAUGGCCCAAGUCGUUUCAACAGAAGGGUUUCUGUGUUUAUAAGUGUGUUGUUUUAUAAAUUGUUUUAUAAUUACAGAAAAAGUUCACAAAGACAAAUUAAAGAUAAUGUUAUCGCAUUGCGUGUCCCAUUAACGCAUUUGCGUCGUAGUAGUUUAUGUCUGUCCCGCCGAGUCAGAAUCAACAUACGUGUUAAUAGAGAAACUCAUUAACGGUCUAGAGGCAUGCUCGCUCCUCUUGAUCUUACCAUAAUCACAACUGAUGACAGAGUCGUUAAAGGUCGAGAGGCACGCUCGCUCCUUUCAACCUUUUCAUAAUCAUAACUGAUGACAUUAACGUUCAAACAAACCAGUGUAAGACCCAAGACGCACAUGAGCGCUCCGAGACACGCUUGCAGACCAUAGUUGUUGGAUAAUUUCAUCACGUUUGAUACCGACGUUUGAGAGAUACACUGGAAAAUCAGUUACCUAUGUGCUUGCAAUAAGCGUUGCAAGGUAGGGCUUGCUUUCUUCGAAAGAAAAACCCGUUGGAAAGUCGCGGAUGUAUACGAAUGCACACCUUGACUGCUAUAGAGUUCGUGGCUCUAUGGGUCUUUCCUGGACCUCCAGAUCCUAACCUUUGCCCCGGAUGUUGACAGCCUCCUGAAGCGAGCACACAAAAUCACCUCGGUGCCAUUAAUACAACAAGCUGCAUGCAGGACCUUGUUGAAAUCACUCAGCCGUCCGUUGAACCCGCCAACCCCAGAAAACGCAGGGCCUGGUUUGAUGAUUUCAGUCGCUUUGUCCGAAGGACCCAGAACACUUUCAGGCAGCUAAUAGAGAUGCAGUUUGUAGCUCACCCUCUGGGUGCGACGUUUAGAACAACCCGCCAAAUAACGUACAUCUGCAACAUAAAAAAUACCUGAAGAUGUUUGAGAACAUAACGUGCAGACAGAGUCGCAACCAUGGAUCGACCGCAUGUCCCAUAACCUCAGUCGCAUUGAUGAGGCAUUAAACUGGUACGUACGAUACCACUGUUCUCUGUGCUUGAUAAUGACGAAUUUACGACAACGCGCAAUCUGUUUCAGAAAAAGUUCACCGUACUGGAGAGCUUGCCGAUUGUCGAAAAUAACAAGGCAGCAGGUUCGGAGGCGGUCUACAAUGAAUAUCUCGAGGGACCAUUCUGUCCUUGUGCUGGACCGCACGCUCGAAUGUGCACAUUUCCAGCUAAAAGGAGAGAUGCUUUGCUAUUGAUGGAUAUUGAGCGAACUCUUCUAUCGUCAUGGUGCAGAAUCGUUCGGAGGAACGCAUUCCACAGGUUGCUUGCCAGUGUGCUGACCAGAAGACGGUCCACUUUCUCAACGAGUAGAAAAGCUAUACCAAAGGAACAACACAGGUCCUGAUGGUCGACAUUAUAAAAGCAUUCAACAAGAGAAAAAACCCCCUAGUACGUGGUGCUUGAUGAUUAUAAGGCCAUAUUUAAUUCUGUAUCCGAAGAUAUACGUUUGGAUAAGACGGAGCUCGUAGAAUUUAGGAGACGAAGUCUGGACCGUGGCUAGCGAUACGCCAUCUCUCACUGGAUCUUCCCUUCGAUGGCUGGGUUCCCGACGCAUGAAAAGAGGUAAACCAGGUUCUCACACACAAGUCAGAAAAAGGACAGACCUAAUUCACCAUUGUCUACUGUGCCUUCUCGUCACCACAGCAGAUGUCAUGUGAAAUAAAAUAAUCGCACAAGGCCCAAACAGAAAUCGAAGAGAGGUACUCAUUUUCUCAUACUUUGCGAAUAAAGUGAAUAGGGCGAGACAUCCCGACGGGACCGAUACUGGGCCUUACUCUGUGGAAUUUCCUGUACGAUUACGUCAUAAGAUGCGGGGCCUACGGGAAGGAGCUGAGCAUGUAGGUCCCGACCCUACUUGUUACUGUGCGAAAGAAAAACGUUUUUCAGGGCAGAACAAAUCUUGCGCUAAUCAAGAUACAAGCCAGGGUGGAGGAGUGUCUUCUGGAGAUUGCGGCAAAGAAACAUCAAACCAUUUAUUUUAUUGACACCAAGUUAAUUUCUACUUCGGAAAAAUCCUCAACACAGAACUCAAGGAAAACACACACAUAUAUAGUAUGCAGCGCGGAAUAAACCAUAAAUCAAAUAUUGGUUCAUGUGAGAGUGGACGAAAGCUGCGUCGAGACGAAAGAAAAAAUUAUUCUCAAAGCGGACAGAUUUCAAAGAGAGAAUGUUGA